AGAGAGAAAACAGCCUCAGAGCAAGCUCUGAACCUAAUGGCAGGUACUGGCUCCCUAGGAAGAAACUCUGGGAACUGUUGCUCAGCAUUUGGAGACAGGGAAGGGUUGGGGAAAAGGCCUGAAGAAAGGUUAAUGGCAGGCAGUGGCAAAAUGUCUGCUGAAGCAGACUUCAGCUGUCAUCUUAGGGUCCCUGGAGUGGAUCCCAGUGUAGGUAGUAGACCUGGGGUUCUCUGUCAGCUGCUUGGUGGGAAGCCCUUGAUAAGGACAAAUAACACUCUGAGAGAAGGUGAAGCUCACAGAGCCCAGAGCUGAGGGCUGAAGAUGAGAUACAAGGAGUGGGGUGAUACCCUGGAAGAGGUGGGAUUCAAAUGUGACUUGGCUGGGGGUCUGAGUCAUAAGAAGAGUCAGACUGUGGUAGGAUCAGAGUGGCUGCUGGGAGAGGCACAGGAGACAGACCCUGCUACCCCAUGCCCAGCUGCCAGGGGCAAAGCCACUGAGAUCUGGAAACUGAGGUAAAGAGAGGUUAAGGAACUGACCCAAGGCCCUACAGCUCUUCAACAGAAUUCCUGCCUCACACUGAAUGUCCCAGACCCCACAGCCUCUCCUCCUGUGUACCACCUAUGGAGCUACCAACCCAGGACAGCAAAUACACAGGCAGCUGUUGAAACUGAAGGAGCAACAGGAAACAAGAGCAUCAUACCGCAGACUUUGGUUGAUCUUUCCCAUCCCUAUUCCAAGGGAAAGCAGAGGAAUGAUUAUCCCAACCAGCCAACCUCCUGCCAUGGAAAAACAAAGAGGUGACUGGCCAGGAGUGAUCAUGAGAACAAAACGAAUGGAGAAUAAUAUGCUGAUCCUGUUUACUUAUACUAUAUAGGUGUAUGUUGUCACACAUCAUCCUGCUCUCUUUAUUCAAUACCUAGGCUAUCUGUAUUAUGCCUUUAACAACAAAUCACUUAUCGAUAGCAACACAACU